rnacentral:rRNA from 1 species
CAGCAGCCGCGGUAAUACGUAGGGUGCGAGCGUUAAUCGGAAUUACUGGGCGUAAAGCGUGCGCAGGCGGUUUUGUAAGACAGGCGUGAAAUCCCCGGGCUCAACCUGGGAAUGGCGCUUGUGACUGCAAAGCUAGAGUGCGGCAGAGGGGGAUGGAAUUCCGCGUGUAGCAGUGAAAUGCGUAGAUAUGCGGAGGAACACCGAUGGCGAAGGCAAUCCCCUGGGCCUGCACUGACGCUCAUGCACGAAAGCGUGGGGAGCAAACAGGAUUAGAUACCCCUGUAGUCCCUGUCUCUUAUAU